GGCUCAAUGGUCUAGUGGUAUGAUUCGUGCUUCGGGUGAUCUUCUGAUCCCAUUGCUUGCCCACAAGUAACAAGACUGUGCGAGGUCUCGGGUUCGAAUCCCGAUUGAGCCC